CUGAUUUUGGUAGCAUCCUUUGGUCUCUUCUAGUCUGGGAGUCAGAGAAAGUUUGCAUCAAAAUGUCAUCAGGGAUUCAUUUCCAUCAUUUCAAGCAGGGUCAUCUUGGAACAGGACACAGGAUAGCCAAAAACAAUCCAUUGAUACACUUGGUGACAUUAAUUGAGAAAAAAACAAUAUGGUCUGGCCAUGGAGGCAUGGUAUCCGUAACAUCCCCCAAAGGAGCUAAAGAAGAAAUCCACAAUUUACCAUGAGCAUUUCUCGUCUGAAGAUUGCCAAGCGAUUCCUCCAGGACAUUCCUCAAGAUCAAUUUCUGUUCAUCCACCUUGUCCUGGGAGGGACAUCAAUGGGUUUCCAUGUCCUUUGGCUUCUGGUUGAGUUCACUCAGUGGAGAACCCUGGCAAGAGGCAGGAAAAGGGGAGGAAGGUAAAAAUGGUGCUACCCUUGGAAAUCCAAGAGCAGCUUCAAGAGUCAACUAUACCAGCAAUCCCUAAAGCUGGAGAAUUUAUGCCCAUGGAAAAGUCUGUAGCGUUUUGCAAACUGUGAGGCUGAGGAAUAGACCUAGUUCCUGCAGCAGAUCAAAAUGAAAGAUGCAGAAAUGCAGCAACUAUUGCAGGGAUUCCGUGAGACCAAGGACCUGUCUCCAUAGCAGGGCUGAGGAGGAAGAGGAAGAGGAGGGGUUGGUCUUGCUGUCUCAAGAGUAGCAGAAGCAGAAGAAAAUCCAAGUUGGUCAAAGGAAGAGGAGGAUCAAUGGCCUUUUUUCCUCCCCCCAACCUUUUUUUUUUUUUUUUUUUUUAAACAAAGAAGCAAAGUGAGAACAUUAAGCCCGAAAGAGAACUGUGUUCAUUGCAGGACUUUUUGAGGUCUGGUUAAGCCAUUUAUAUAAAGAAAUUACACAGUUCCUCUUUGGUAACCUCAAUCCUGAAAGUUAGUGUGACAGGCCUACAGCUUUUUGUUCU
rnacentral:lncRNA from 1 species